rnacentral:misc_RNA from 1 species
GAUGAAGAACGUAGCGAAAUGCGAUACGUAGUGUGAAUUGCAGAAUUUAGUGAAUCAUCGAAUCUUUGAACGCACAUUGCGCCCGCCAGUAUUCUGGCGGGCAUGCCUGUUCGAGCGUCAUUACAACCCUCAGGCCCCCGGGCCUGGCGUUGGGGAUCGGCGGAGCCCCCCGUGGGCACACGCCGUCCCCCAAAUGCAGUGGCGGUCCCGCCGCAGCUUCCAUCGCGUAGUAGCUAACACCUCGCGACUGGAGAGCGGCGCGGCCACGCCGUAAAACACCCAACUCUUCUGAAGUUGACCUCGAAUCAGGUAGGAAUACCCGCUGAACUUAAGCAUAUCAAUAAGCGGAGGA